AUGGCAAACAAGCACCCGGAGCCUCCCAAAGCAGAAUUGCAGCUGCCGCUGCUGCUGCCACCACCUCCAGGCCAUUAUGGUGCCUGGGCUACCCAGGAGCUUCAGGCCAAGUUGGCAGAGAUCAGAUGUCCGAUCCAGGGUAGUCAUGAGGAGCUGGUGGAGCAGCUGCAGAUCUACACCCACCAGACUGACAUCAUGCUGAAUCAGCCCAUUUUGAGAGGGGAAGAUGGGGACAAAGCUGCUCCACUUCCCAUGUCAGCAUAACUCCCUGGAAUUCCUAUGCCACCACCACCUAUGGGACUCCCCACUCUGUAGCCUCCUCCGCCACCCCCACUAUCUCCACUAGGCCUUGGCCUUGGCUUUCCUAUGGCCCACCCACCAAAUUUGGGGCCCCCGCCUCCUCUCCGUGUGGGUGAGCCGGAGCUCUUGUCAGAAUAGCGGCUGAGGCUGGCUCAGCAGCAGGUGGCAUUGCUGAUGCAGCAGGAGGUGCGUGCCAAGCAGCAGGGAGAUCAUUUACUGAAGGAAUAUGAGCUCUUGGAGCAGCAGAAGCGGCAGCUGUGUUACUGGAGCAGGAAUGACAGCAGGAGAUUGCCAAGAUGGGCACCUCAGUCCCUCGGCCCCAAGACAUGGGCCAAAUUGGCGUGUACACUCCUCUGGGUCCUCGAGUAAUGGCUCCAGUGGGCCCUGUGGGGCCCCACUCCUACAGUUUUGCCCAUGGGAGCCCCUGUUCCCCAGCCUCGUAGUCCCCCACCGCCCCCUGGAGAUGAAAACAGAGAGAUGGAUGACCCCUCUUUGGGCCCCAAGAUCCCCCAGGCUUUGGAGAAGAUCCUGCAGCUGAAGGAGAGCCACCAGGAAGAGAUGAACUCUCAGCAGGAGGAAGAGGAAAUGGAAACAGAUGCUUGCUCAUCCCUGGGAUAGUCAGCAUCAGAGACUGAGGAGGACACAGCGUCCAUAUCUAAAAAGGAUAUAAACCGGAAACGUAGGAACCAGAAGAAGAAACGUAGGUCCUCUGAGAGCUCUGGGGACCGAGAGAAAGACUCAACACAUUCCCGUGGCUCUGACUCCCCAGCAGCUUAUGUUGAGAUGAGUAUGUGACUGAAGAACCAGAAAUUUAUAAGCCCAACUUUAUCUUCUUUAAGAGUAUCUUUGAAGGUUUUAAGCUCACUGAAGAAGGAGAAAGAGAAGGAGCCAGAGAAACUUGACAAAAGGCUUUGAGGAGGAGCACAAAGACAGUGAUGACGACAGCAGUGAUGACAAGCAGGAAAAGAAGCCAGAAGCCCCCAAGCUGUCCAAGAAGAAGUUGCACCGAAUGAACUGCUUCACUCUGGCUGAACUUAAGCAGCUGAUGGCUCGGCCCGAUGUUGUGGAGAUGCACGAUGUGACGGCACAGGACCCUAAGCUCUUGGUCCACCUCAAUGCCACUCAGAACUCCAUGCCUGUGCCACGCCACUGGUGUUUUAAGCGCAAGUAUCUGCAGGGAAAACGGGGCAUUGAGAAGCCUCCCUUCGAGCUGCCAGACUUCAUCAAAUGCACAGGCAUCCAGGAGAUGCGAGAGGCCCUGCAGGAGAAGGAAGACCAUGAAGUCAAAAAUGCAAGAGAAAGUUCAGCCCAAAAUGGGCAAGAUUGACAUUGACUACUAGAAUCUACACGAUGCCUUCUUCAAGUGGCAGACCAAGCCAAAGCUGACCAUCCAUGGGGACCUGUACUAUGAGGGGAAGGAGUUUGACACACGACUGAAGGAGAAGCCAGGAGAUCUGUCUGAUGAGCUAAGGAUUUCCUUGGGGAUGCCAGUAGGACCAAAUGCCCACAAGGUCCCUCCCCCAUGGCUGAUUGCCAUGCAGCGAUAUGGACCACCCCCAUCGUAUCCCAACCUGAAAAUCCCUGGGCUGAACUCGCCCAUUCCUGAGAGCUGUUCCUUUGUGUACCAUGCUGAUGGCUGGGGCAAACCUAUCCAUGACCAACCACUCCAAUACCCACAUGUCUAACAUGUGGGUAUUCAACACAGUGUUGCUCAUCAUAGCCAAAUGAGAAAAAAAAAAUUAACAGCAAAAUGGCUAAAAAUAUAGUGGUAUAUUCACAGAAUGAGAAACUACACAGAAAAAAUGAAAGUGAAAGAACUAUAACUUCUUACAAAAAUAUAAACUACUUUGGGAGGCUGAGGUGGGCGGAUCACCUGAGGUCAGGAGCUCGAGACCCGUCUGACCAAUAUGGUGAAACCCCAUCUUUAAAAAAAUAAAAAUAAUAUUUAUAAACUGAACUCAACACAUAAUGUUGUGCAGAAAAAACCAUACAUCUCUUGAAUCAAUUCAGAAGAAUACAUUAUAACAUAUAAGCCAAUUUCACAGAAGUUCCCUAAAGCAAGUAAUAAACCAUUUGUCUAGGAAUACCUACAACAUUGAUAAAAUUAUAAAGAAGAACAUGAAAGUGAUUACCGUUGAAGUCAUUAGAAUAUUGCCUAUGAAAGGAGAACUUUUGUGGGCUAGUAAUAUUCUACUUUUGCCCAGGGUGGUUACACAAAUACUGGCUUUUUAGUUUUUUGUUAAAUCUUAUGUAUUAGUUAUAGUAACACUCAGUACUAUAAUAAAUAAACUAAAAAAAUAUGUAAUGGCUGUAAUAAAAACAGAGGUUUACACAACUGUCCAAAGCAGAUACCCCUCUCAACGAGCCUCACUUGAAUAAAUGGAAAAGCACGCCAUUCUUGAAUAGGAAAACUUAGAAUCAUAAAGAUAUUCUAUUUCUCCUUAUUCUAAUCAUUAAGUCCAUGCAAUAAAAAUGUCAAUAGGCUUUUUAAUACAAAAAAAUUUAAAAAUUAAUAGAGAACUAUAAAUACGUGAAAUAGCCAAGAAAUUUGUAAUGAGGGUGGAUUGAUUGCCCUUUCAGAGACUAGAACAAUUUUUUUUUUUUUUUUAAAGACGGGGUUUCACCAUGUUGGUCAGGCUGGUCUUGAAUUCCCGACCUCAGGUGAUCCACCUGCCUUGGCCUCCAAAGUGCUCGUACUACAGGCUUGAGCCACCGUGCCCAGCCCCAUUCCAACAUUUCAUAGUGACUGUCUCCAACACACUAAACUUAUUUCCACCCCAAAGCCAAUGCUUCCCCACCUCCAUACCUAGAAUGCACACAGAUACCUCACCAUUCAUAUCUAAACUCAAAUAACAUCUUCAAAAGCUUCCCAGACCUCACAAUCUACAGAAGCAUCACCUGGUGAGAAGCUGGUGGUGAGGGGAAUCAGGAGCCCUUUGGCCACAAUAAGUUUAGAAAUUUAUUAUGUAUUCAAGUAAAUAUUUAAUUCACUUAUCAUAGACCCC